rnacentral:rRNA from 1 species
CGUGCCUAAACAUGCAAGUCGAGCGAAUCGAUGGGAGCUUGCUCCCUGAGAUUAGCGGCGGACGGGUGAGUAACACGUGGGCAACCUGCCUAUAAGACUGGGAUAACUUCGGGAAACCGGAGCUAAUACCGGAUACGUUCUUUUCUCGCAUGAGAGAAGAUGGAAAGACGGUUUACGCUGUCACUUAUAGAUGGGCCCGCGGCGCAUUAGCUAGUUGGUGAGGUAAUGGCUCACCAAGGCGACGAUGCGUAGCCGACCUGAGAGGGUGAUCGGCCACACUGGGACUGAGACACGGCCCAGACUCCUACGGGAGGCAGCAGUAGGGAAUCUUCCGCAAUGGACGAAAGUCUGACGGAGCAACGCCGCGUGAACGAAGAAGGCCUUCGGGUCGUAAAGUUCUGUUGUUAGGGAAGAACAAGUACCAGAGUAACUGCUGGUACCUUGACGGGACCUAACCGGAAAGCCACGGAUAACAUACGUGCCAACAACCGCGGAAUAAUAUAGGUGGCAAGCGUUGCCCAGAA